GGAAUAUUGGACAAUGGGCGCAAGCCUGAUCCAGCAACGCCGCGUGGAUGAAGAAGGCCUUCGGGUUGUAAAGUCCUUUCGACGGGGACGAUGAUGACGGUACCCGUAGAAGAAGCCCCGGCUAACUUCGUGCCAGCAGCCGCGGUAAUACGAAGGGGGCUAGCGUUGUUCGGAAGUACUGGGCGUAAAGGGCGUGUAGGCGGACCAACCAGUCAGGGGUGAAAUCCCGGGGCUCAACCUCGGAACUGCCUUUGAUACUGUUGGUCUUGAGGACGGGAGAGUGUCGUGGAAUUCCCAGUGUAGAGGUGAAAUUCGUAGAUAUUGGGAAGAACACCGGUGGCGAAGGCGGCGACCUGGACCGUAUCUGACGCUGAGGCGCGAAAGCGUGGGGAGCAAAC
rnacentral:rRNA from 1 species